AGUUUGAUCCUGGCUCAGAGCGAACGCUGGCGGCAGGCCUAACACAUGCAAGUCGAACGAACCCUUCGGGGUUAGUGGCGGACGGGUGAGUAACACGUGGGAACGUACCUUUAGGUUCGGAACAACACAGGGAAACUUGUGCUAAUGCCGAAUGUGCCCUUCGGGGGAAAGAUUUAUCGCCUUUAGAGCGGCCCGCGUCUGAUUAGCUUGUUGGUGAGGUAAAGGCUCACCAAGGCUACGAUCAGUAGCUGGUCUGAGAGGAUGAUCAGCCACACUGGGACUGAGACACGGCCCAGACUCCUACGGGAGGCAGCAGUGGGGAAUCUUGCGCAAUGGGCGAAAGCCUGACGCAGCCAUGCCGCGUGAAUGAUGAAGGUCUUAGGAUUGUAAAACUCUUUCACCGGGGAAGAUAAUGACGGUACCCGGAGAAGAAGCCCCGGCUAACUUCGUG
rnacentral:rRNA from 1 species